AUAACAUUUGAAAUGUAAAUAAAUAAAAUAACCAAUAGAAAGAAAAAAGAAAAAAAAAGAGUUGCAUUGGUCAUAGUCUCUGUUCACAGCAGUAAAACUCUACCUAAGACACACAUACAUGAUAAUUGUAAAUAUUUAUGAAAUAUGAUAAGCUAUUUUUAUAGAUAUAUGACCUGAAAUUACUCCAUGUUCAUUAAGUCACUCUAAAUGACAGUGUGUGGUUUUGUUCAGUUAAGAACAUUCCUAACUGAAGCCAUGUGUGCAUGCAUAUAAAUCAGUUCAUUAGAGAUUAUUGACAGUUGAAUAUUAUGUCAUAGAGUAAACAAUGAACUUAUAAGCAACUGUGAUACUUAUACUUAUGAUGAUCAUUUCACUUGGUACCCAAGAACAAAUUAAAGAAAUUCUGAUAUUAUUCUAAGAUUUGUGACCAACUGAUGUAUUUAAUGUUUCUUAUAAGAUUAGGGGUUUCGAUAUUUCUCUGGCUCAAUUUGUAUAUAAAUUUCUGUUAGUUAUAAUAAAGUAUAUUCAAAAUAUUUGAAUUUAUAACUUCUUGUUGAAUGACAUUUUAAGGUUUAUGUUCCAUACAUCUUUGCAUAUGAAAGAAUUUAUUAAACACUUCCUGUUCAUUGAGAAAACUUGGUUAUAAAUGUUAGCCUUGUGAUGUUCCAUUCUACACGUGGACAUAUAGUUUAUUUAGUUACUCACAUAGACACAACAUUUAGAAGCAUCUCUCAUGAUGAAGUUUUUUCCUGACAAAGCACUACAUAAUUUCAACAAUUUCUAUAAAAAUAAAUCCCAGAGAAGAUAACUACAUAAAUAUGGGUCCUCCCCAAUGUACAAAGGUCCUCAGCUUUUUUGUGAUAUGAAUAUUAUUGUUGAAUUGUAUGAAGCUGCCGUAAACAUGUGUUAUGAAUAGCAAGAACAAAGUUUCAAAACUGCUCUUAGAAGAAAACGAGCACAGAAAUGAAAUGUUAGUGCACUGUUGGAAUGAAUGAGAGUAAAUGUGGACUAAAAGAUAAUUGAUCCCAAACAGCAUUGAUUUCCAGGUCUGCUACACUUUCUGUGCCAUUUUGCAAUAAUAUGGGCUGCCUGUACUUUUUAGUUUGCUUAGCUUCAGCAAGCUCUGUGAUUGGGAUAUUGGGUUAAUUUCAUUCUGCAAUUUAACUAUUAUUAGAAACAAAGAUGGACAAAUAAACUUUUACUGUAAAUUGGAGAUAAGUACAAUAGGGAUCACACUGGAGGCAGAACACUGAUAAGAUGCAUACACACAGAAGACAGAAGAUAAAACAGGUGGUAGGAGACUGACUCUGUUGUGUGUGUGUUUCUGUGUGUGUCUGUGUAUGUAUGGUGUGCGUGUAAGAUGUAUAUGUCCAUGUGUGUAUGUCUGUGUGUGUCUAUAAGUGUGCAUCUAUAUGAUGUGUGUAUGUAUGGUGUGUGUAUGUGUGUGUCCAUGUGUGUGUGUCUCUGUGUAUGAUGUGUAUGCUUAUGUGUGUGUACAUGCACGUGAGUGCGUGCAUGUGUGCAUUAAGCAUAUAGUCAUAUGCAUGGGGUGAUUAGAAGGAAACAUACACCAGUUCAGAGUUUGUGUCCUGUUUUCUGAAAUAAAAGGAAGCAUUGCCUAAUCAUUACUACUACGGACUGUUUUCCAGCCUAUGUGCAGUGUUACUAAGGAGCUGACUGCUGCCUUAGAGUAGACAUGUUCUUGCUUUCUUUGAAUCAAUAGAGCAUCUCUGAGUCAGUAGAGUAGAAAACAAGCAGAGGAGCCUUUUCCCUACAUGCUGGAAGUGGUUAUCACUGUUGUCAAGGAAACGCCCACACUUCACAAGGUCACCUCUGGAAUAAACAGCAAGAUGUCAAGAACAGAUCAAUAGACCAAAGCCAAGACCUCAGCCUCCUCCCACGCUCCUAUUUUAAAUAUCCUUCCUAACAAACACUUGCUUAGCUCAUUCUCUGUGUCCUGGAGUUGUCAAGUGAAGCUGAUGAUGCCUUAGGUCAAGCCCAGAAUUUUCCAUGCUCUGUUUCUUUGAAGCUUCUGGUGCUUAGUGAGGAUGCUCGGAGUGGAGUGUGGGAGUGUGGUUGUUAGCCUGAAGCUAGACUAAGGCCAGUUUACAAAGAUAAGCUCCACUUAGGACUGCAUUUGUAAGAGAUUUUAGAAUGGUCACCAGACCUUUCUUAAAGCAGUAACAUUUUAAUUUCAGAAAACGCUUUAUUAUAGACUAGAAAUGUGUGGAAUUUUAGUCAGUCUGUUUCAUUCAUCUGGAUGCUCAUUUGUUAACUUACCCACUUAUCCAUUCUUCAGUCGGAUGAUUAUAACUUUGUACUGUGUGCCCCAUGUCGAUUUGGGCAUGAGAGGUGACUAUAGUAUAUUUCCUACAUCUAAGAUCUAGAGACUCAGUCUGAAGAAAACAUGACUAUGGAAUCCAGUAAAGAAGUAACUCGUGGAGGGGAACACAGGGGGUUGCUUAACAUCUGAGCAACAGUUCUUCAUGGGUCAAGGAAGAAAUAGUUUGGGAAGAGAUAAAUGUUUGCAGGUGACCUUGGCAGUGGAUAUGCACUGAGUGCAGAAUGCAGUGCUGGAAAACAGGUUUUGACAGAGAUGGUAGCCAGGAGCAGAGAUGGGAGGAGCCAGAUGCUAUGGAAUCCUGUUAUCUGAAGCUCUGGACAUACUAGGGGGGGUUUAGAUAGAAGACUAGAAAAGAAAAUCAAAAUGCAUCCAUGAAUGUCUUUGUGCAAUAUUUUCAAAAGGUCACUGCUAGCUUUUCAGAUAUUCCAUCCAUAUACUAGUUAAUGACAUUAUUUAAUGCUAUAAUAAAUAACUGGGGCUUUAAGUAGCUUGAUAUGAGUCCUUCUAUUUCCUCUAACAAUCCAAAAUUGGUCACACUCCUGUGCUUGCAUAUGGUUUGAUGGAACUGGAAUUUCUGAGGCUGUUUAUCAUUUAAAACAAGCAUUGCAAAAUCCAGCAAUACACUCUCUUCUUUUUAAAAUUCGCAACGAUACCUGAUUUACUGGAAGACCAAUGCCGCGUUAUUAUGAUGGGGCUUAAGAUGGUUUCUGCUUUCAAAGUAGCUAGUGACACUAAAUUAUUGUAUCGUCACUUUGUGAAAUCGCAGACACCAUAUUUUGUUGUUAGAAAAUGACGAAUGCUGUGCCGACAGCUUUCCUGUUUAUUAAGCUACCCUGAGCCACACUGGAAUGCAUCUUGUUAACUUUCCCAAUAGAAAGAAUAAGGAUGAUGGUUUGUAUUUAAGAGAAUGUGGCGGUCGCAAACGUUAUAGAGCUAAAGGUUUUUGGCAUCAUCUAGGUUAGCCACCUGUUCUCUCCUCCAUUUGCUGAAUAAAUUAGAAGCUCCUGGGAGAGUGUGUGGAGCUGACUGGCCUGCCUCGUUGCCAAGGCAACCAUUUUUCUCUCUGCUCUAUGACUCUGAAAGGGUUCAUAACCCAUUAGUGCUCCUCUGGGUAAGAAUAUGAGACCAUUUCUUUUUUUUUUUUCUCCCUUCCUUCUUUACUCCUUUUCCUGGUCAAGAUAAUGUGAGCAGUAAAUGCUCUUACCAUAUAUGUAUAUUCCAAUGCUGCACUUCCCAAUUUCCUGGGGAAUUGGGGUGUAAAUCUUAAAGGCACAUGACAGCUAAGUGGAGAGAUGCAUAUAAUAAUGAAUAAAAAAAAUGAAAAAGCGAUUUCAACCUCAAAUGCUUUCCAAAUUGAAAAUAUUGGCAGGGCAGAGUUUAUUUAAAGCCCACAUAUGAAGAAACACAGACUGCCUGAGUCCAGCACAAGAGACACUUUCAUAAUGGCGUCUACCUGCCAUCAUCUGCUCAUGGCUUCCCUUAUUCUGUAGAGACAAUGUAACAAGGAAGGGCAAGUAGAGAUUCUUACUUAAAAAUAAGAUUAAUCAAAUCACAUAUCCAUUUUCUGGAUGGCAAAGGGCGAAGGAGUUGAAACAGGUGAUUUCCCACUCUGGUAACAGCCACAGAGCUCAUGUGUGCUGUGACUCCCAAACAGCACACAAAACCAAGAAUUUGAGGGGUUUUUUUCUUCUUUUUAUAAUGCGCAGUUGUUAUUCUUCCGUCUACCUUUUGUCUACUCCCUAUCUUUACUCCAAUAUGCAUUUAAACAUAAUUAGGGGGAUUUUUGAGUGAGUAAAUUUCCUUUACCAUAUUUCAGGAAUUUUGUAUGACCUCCCUUGCUCAUAUUAACUCCAUGAGACAAAUUCCUUUUCUCUUUCUUUAUAAUUAUGCGACCCCAUGCCAAGGGAUGUAGUGUUGUCCUUUACAGCAAUGUAGCCUCCCUUAGCCCUGAAGCAGGCUGAUCCAGACUUUGACCUUGCUGCCACUGAGAAGGAAAUUACCUAAGAUGGAGCCUUCCGACCUAGAUGGCUCUUUUGUUCUGCUACCUGCCACUGCUCUCUCCAAGACACUGCUACCCGAUGAGAAGCCCCUGAGACAUUCCAGAGGAACAUCCUAUUCUGCACACCACCUACAGGCUGGCUCCAGACACCAAGAAUGGACUGGCGGAGGAUGGACCUUCCCCUUUUAUAAGUAGACUCUCAUAGUAAAGUGGAGGACCUUGAACAGAAUCCUGUCUUGGCUCCAUUAACCUCUCGCAGUCUCAGUCUCUUUCAGCCCCAGCCUGCCUCCCUGGUGUAUCCGGUCCUUGUAAGCUGCAGGCCAGCUUGCAACAGAUUGGCGCCCGGGCCAGGGACCAUGGGAACGGCGGGAAAACACUGAGGGAAUCACUGUCUUGUAUGGAGCUCCAAGGGAAGGAAAGAAUCAGAUCCUAUCUGGCACGGUGAGCAACAGGAUUUGACAGCAAAAUAUGUGUUGGGACUAGAAACUGAAUCAGGUGGCUGUCCGCAGCUUUUAAAAGCUGUUUCAGGAGACAAUUCUACACGAGAUACGACUACAUGGAGUGUCUCCUACUCCCUCUGGACAUCAUGAAAAAGUCUUGUCUACAUACAGAACCCAUAAGCAGUCUAGACUCAUUUCCAAGGCAAGAGGGUUCAGAUGACCUCGACAGGAACCUAGCAUAACUGUCCUAUGAGAAGCUCCACCCAGCAGCCAAUGGGAGGAGAUGCAGUAACUCACAUUAGAUGGAGCUGGGAGAAAGAUUGAGGGACCCGAAGAGGACAGGGACUCUGCAGGAACAUCAACAAAUUCAACUAACCUGGACCCUUGGAGGCUCCCAGAGACUAAAUCACCAACCAAAGAACAAGCAUGGGCUGGACCUAGGAUCUCUGCACAGACGUAGCAGAUGAGCAGCUUGGUCUUCAUCCUGGUCUCCCAAGAGCUGGAGCAGGGGUUGUCCCUGAGCCUGCUGCCUUCUGACCUGCCUGUGGAACCUGUGCUCAUAAUGGAUCCCCUUGUCUGGCCUCAGUGGGAGAGGAUGUGCUUAUUACCACAGUGAUGUGAGGUGUAAAGUGUCAGAAACCAGACCUUGAAAAAGGCCACGAUGGAGUUGAAGAAGAUCUCUCUGGAGGAAGACAGCAGGACGUGUGCUAUGGAGAGGAAACUGGGAAAGAUGGAGAUGAGAAUUUGCCUAUAGGGGAAGAAGUAGAAGCAAUACCAAAGGGGAUGGUUUGAGGAGGGGUUGAAAGGCCAUAGAGAAAUGUAUUUUAUGUUAACAUAAAAAUUGCAUGCACUAUAUGUAAAGGUAUGUACCUACAUAUAUAAUUAGCUAAAUGAAGAUAUGCCACUUGAGGCAAUAGCCGUAGACCAUAUGGCAAAAUCUCCAGGACUUCCUUCAACUUGUUGGUUAAGGGAACCUAAGAGGCUCUGAAAAUAAUAUAGGUGAUUGCCAAAGCACUUGGUUAAAUCCCAGAACUUUUGGGUAAAGUCCUAUUGUAGAAAACACCAUGUAGUUCAGACACAGGAUUGGGUGGAGCCAAGCUAAGCUUGAACUGACCAGGAAUCCCCUCCUUGAGGUCUGCUCCUAUCGUGCAGGAAGAGUCUGUGAAAGCUGCGGGGAAGAUAAACAACUAAAAUCCUACCUAGCUGUGAAGUCUAAGAACCAAGCCAUGGCCAGCUCAGCAGAUAUUGCCAAGGCAAGCUAACAGUCAACUGUGACUCCAUUUUCUGGCAUUCAUAAGCUCUACACUCAGAAGCACAUAUCCCCUAAUAUACUGACAUAUACAAAUACAUAAAUUAAAACUAGUAAAAUAAUACCUGGAAAAGAAUUUAUGCCAUCAGUAUUAUAUCCCCUUUAUUAUGUCCUUGAGUGUGAGAUUAUUGGUUUCCAUAUAAGUUUUUCAUAACUCUUUGAUUACGCCUUCUUCCACCCCCUCAUUUUGCCAUAUGCUAAUACCUUCCAUGUUUGAAUCUUAGUUCUUCAAAUAUCCCCCAUAUCUAAUCCUAUUUUACCUCUGUUUCUGCACCUCCACUUUCAUAGUGAGUCGGUCUUCAAUUACAAGGAUUCCACAUAUACUACAAAGUUAAAUAUCUGAAGCAAAUUACUCAAGCUAGAAUCCACCUACAAGAGAGAACAUGCUGCAUUUAUCUUUCUGAGCCAUUGUGAUGUCAUCUAGCAUGAUACAGGCCAUCCAUUUCUAUGCAAAUUUUAUAAUAUCAUCUUUAGGAACCUGCUACAUUUGUCUUUCUGAGCCAGGAUGACCUCACUAAGUAUGAUCUUUCCAGGUCACCCAUUUCUCUGCAGAAUGUGUGAUAUUGUUUUUAUUUGUAGCUAAGUAAUAGUCCACUUUGUAUAUGUAAUAAAUGUCCAUUAUCCAUUUAUCAGCUGAGGGACAUCUGGGUUGUUUCCAUUUCAUAGCUACUGUGAAUACAGAAGCCAGUGCCCAGCUCAGGUCAUCUAUAACAGUGUUUCCCAAUCUAAGGCUCAGAGAAUCACAGAAGAGUGGGUGGGAAGAAGGGGAGAGACAGGGAAAGGAGAGGAGAACAGUAAAAUCCUGUCUCCUGCAUGUGCAUGGCAGACACACAAGUCAUGUGACCAUAGCUACAACUGACUGCACAGAAACAGAUAAGAUAAAGCCCAUUUAAAUUCUAGCAUGGAUAGGGAAGGAAUCCUGAGACCCCCAUCCCUAGAUCAAGAGCCAUUGGCAGUUGGUGGUGGACAGAGAGUCACUUUCUUUGGGCUAGGUAGUACAUGGCUCCGGUCUCAGUGCAUAACCCCACAUCUCUUUGCACAUAGGAAGCACUAAUUGGAUUCAGUGGGCUAUUAACAACAACAACAAAAUGAAAUAAGAGGGUUAUGGAAAGUUAAUGCAGGAGAAGAGAACUGGAUACAUUAUACUUACAUGAAAAAUUCAAGGAAUAAAUAAACUAUUAUAAAAAAUAAACUUGGAGGUAUUAGUUAAAGAUACUUAGGGAUGACUAAGCACUGUGUCAAUAUUGUACUAGAUUUAGCUCUGAUUUAGUUUCUUAUACAAAAAUUUAAAAUACAAAGUGAGUUCCAGGACAGUCAGGGCUAUACAGAGAAAACCUGUCUCAAAAAAAAAAUCCCUUUAUACUUCUGUUCUGUAUAUACUAGAUCGGUUUCAAGCAUUAAAAUAAAGAGAUUUACUACCACAAGCGUGAUGGGAAUAUUGGUUCUGCUCACAUAGCACACAGUGAAUCUCCUAGACUUCUCUCUGUUUAUAUCUUGGGACAGAGGGAACUUGUAAGUGUGAUAUAGGUUAAGAACUAUGAGAAGAGAGAUUUGGCUGCAGGAUCAGGUUGGACCCAAGUCUAAUCCCAUGAGUCCCUUAGAACUGAGAAACAUUCUUGGCUGUGUUCGGGAAAAUGUGACAGGUCAGAGAGCUGUGACCUUUCUGAGCAAGGAUGAAUGUGGGUGGCCUGUGGAGCAGGAAGCCAGGAUUUCAGAGAACUGAACACUGUUCUUAGGACCCUGCGGAUAUCGGCUUCAGUUUUGCUUGUUUGAACUGAGACUGCAAAAGUGUAAGGGAUCCAUCAGUACUCUCUACGGCAAGGAAUCUGUGAAAAUGUGACCCUACAACAAUAGCAGAAAUGAGCAAAAUCCACCCGAAAGGAAUUGUGUCUCCAGGUUUUUACGUUUUGUCCUUUGUUGUUGAGGUAAAAAAUGUUGAUCCUAGAGAGUCCAAUAAGGCAUGCAUGUCCCUGCUGAACGUUGUGAAGGAAUCUGGGUACAUUUUCAAUUAUUUCUUUCAAAUAUAGUUGCCAGAUCUCAUACCAUCUUAAACUGCGUUUCCUGCAUAGGCUAUGUACUCAAAUUGAAUUUUCUUCAUAGUUAGAGGACUUUUUAAACUUAAAUUUCCCUUUUUUUUUGAUUUUAUAAGCUCAACAUGUGUGUGUGUUUUAAAAAUAAUUAAAAUAGAAUGUUUUAUUUUAUUUAAAACCUUGAAUCAUUGUUGGUUCUAAGGUAUUUUUUUAAAUUAUUUUUGAUAACUGUAGAAUCUAGUACAAUAUAUUUUCAGUAUUAAGACACUUUAAUUGUAGCUUCUCACUUCCCCUGUGUCUGCUGUGGACUGACAUAUGUCUAGUUAAUACAGGUACAAUCAAAAUAUAAUCAUUUAGACUUUGUUUUACUGAUUUUUAAUGUGUUGAUAUUCCCAAUUUCUUGGGUUUCCAUGGUGUCCUUCCUUAUAGACGUUGUGGAAUUAACUUAUUUGCUUGUCUCUUAGAAUGGAACAUGAGGUGCCUCAUUUUAGGAUCUUUUAAAACAAAAAUGAGUAAGUUAGCACUCUGUGUUUAGCAGUAGGAGCAUUGGGAGCUGUGGUCUGCUCUCUACCAAAUGUUGUCUUCAUCUCUAACAUUUGAGUCGUAUUACGAUUAGCAUUUGAGUUAAAAUCAUUUGUGCCUUUCCUUUUCAUGCAUCAAGUAUUUAGAAAGAUGAGUAAAUAUUGGCCGCAAAUUUCAGGAAUUGCUUAAAUUCCCACAUUGUUUUGUUUUAUUUCCAAAUUGUCUUUUCUGUAGUCAAAGAACUGUUUUGUCUUUGUUAGUUGUAGUCAGCUGUUUUGAUAUGUUCUGUUCAUCAUAUUUGGGGCUAGUUCACUUCCUUUACCCGUCAUCAUUUGAGAAGAUAUUUUAGACAUUAUCUUUCAAGAUAUUAAAACUGUUAUCCUCUCCGUUUCCCUUCUCAGAUCUCAGUUUCGAUGUUGUCCAUCAAAUCAUCAGGAUGCACUCAUUGGUAUUCUUUCUGCCAUCUCUGCUUUGCAGGUUUUUAUUUUUUAUUUUUGCACUUUUAGUACAUAAUAACUUUAUCUGCUUCAUUAAACCCAAAUUCCAUUCUAAAGCACAGCCUUACAUGUUUCAUUUUAGAUAGCAUAGUUUCCAUCUCUUAAAGUUGGAUUUUUCCCCCCUAUUUUGUGUCUUUCAUUUGUCUUAAUUAGAUUUCUUCUUUAGUCCUUCAGGAAAUCACAAAAUCCUUACAUGCUUGCCCCACAACACUAAGGUCAGUAUCACUUCUGGCUCAGUUUCUAUUUACUGAAGUUUCUUCUUUCGGGGUCACAUUUCCCUCGCUCUUGUCAUACAUAGUCAUUUUUAUUGUAAACUGAGUAAUCUAAUUAUUAUGUUGUUGGAUCCAGUUUGUACUUGUGUUUUAAGGAGUGUUGGAUUCUGUCUUGGCAGAGAAUUAAGUUAUUCUGAGUAAAGAUAAUCCUUUUUAAGUUGGUUUAUAAUUGUUAUUACUCCAGAUCUACUUAGCCUUUUGAUUUAAGCAAGCUUUAAUACAGGGUUUGUGUAGUUCUAUGAUACAGUAGAUAUCUGUCAGUAAGUCAGUCAUCAAUCUGUCUGUCUUUCUGUCAGGAAAGCGCUGAGGGUAUACAGCAAAAGUAUCUGUCUGGACUACUAGGAGUGAAGCAUACCUCAGUCUGAUGAGAAACUUUUCAAUUAUUAGUCAUUCAUUUGGCCCUAGGUUUCAUUCUAUGCACAUAUAUCUUAGAAGUCAGUGAUAUAUUUUCAGGAAUCCGAUGUGUUGUUAGAGGUUCUUACCUUCAAAGAUCCAUUGCACUGAUUUGAUUUUCUAAGCCCCUUCUACUUUCUCAAGCUAUGGAGAUCUUGUGCCCUGGAGAUCAAGCGUAUGGAGAUGUACCAGGCAGAGGCAUGGGGCAACUCAGCUUUUUCCCUUUUCUUUUAUAAGCCACUGACCUGGACUAACUGUUAUUAGUAUCUAUACUUGUUUCCCCCAAACAUGGUUGUCUAAUUUCUUUUAUUAGUCAGAGGGAAAAAUGGUCUUCAAUGCCCCUUGUCCAGAACUAGUUCUUAGAGAAGGAACCGGUUCUUGAAUUUGUGGACAAAGGUAGUUUUUUUUUUUUUCCUUCUUGAGAAGAUACAUUUUGUCGGUCCUAUUUUUAAUUUAUUAAGCUAGAAUUUUCCUUCCCACAGCACAUUCAGGUAUAAUCUAUCCAUCCAUCCAUCCAUCCAUCCAUCCAUCCAUCCAUCCAUCCAUCUAUCUAUCUAUCUAUCUAUCUUGAUUGGUUUUUCAAGACAGGGUUUCUCUGUGUAGCCCUGGCUGUCCUGGAACUCACUUUGUAGACUAGGCUGGCCUUGAACUCAGAAAUCUGCCUGCCUCUGCCUCCCGAGUGCUGAGAUUAAAGGCAUGCACCACCAUGCCCGGCUACUCGAUAUAUCUUAUAUCUGCGGCUUUAGCUGCAUUUUUGGGUCUGCUUUCUUUCUUUUAAUUUUUUUCACAUGACAGCUGUUUAAAAUUUGAAGAGAGAAAGUAUAUUUUUUCCAGAAAUGGUGUUUUAAAUCCCCCAUAAUCUUGAGUACUCUCAGAUAUUAUUAGACUAGCAAUGCUUUUACUACAGUAUGUAGUUCGAGGGAAAAGGUAGUAUUCUGGCAAAAUCAUGCACAUACAAUUUACUUUGUAGUACCAAAUUCUUUAAUUAUUAUAUACUCAUAAAUAAACAGCCAUAGAGUAUACAGGUUUAAAACAACACAACUUUUACCCUUUAUCCUUCUAAGAAAUGUUUGGAUGUAGGAUAGCAGGGCUUAGAUUAAAGAGUCCUGAUAUAAGGACACCUGCUAUGGUCAUGGAUUUUUUUUUUCUUUUAUAAAUUUCUCAUUGCAGUCAUUUUGUGCAUGUGUGUGCAUGUGUCCCCGUGUUCCUGUGGUUGUCCAUGUGUGUCUGUGUGUGUUCGUGUGUGUGUGUCCGUGUCCGUGUCCGUGUCCAUGUGUGUCCGUCCGUGUGUGUGUGUGUGUGUGUGUGUGUGUGUGUGUGUGAGAGAGAGAGAGAGAGAGAGAGAGAGAGAGAGAGAGAGAGAGAGAGAGAGAGAGAGAGAGAGAGAAAUACUUUUGUGGAUGUCAGAAUACAACUUUGGGAGUUCUUGUAUUAUAUGGGUCAUAGGAAUUGAACUCAAGUCAUCCGACUUGGUGGCAAACACAUUUAUACAGUGAGCUAUAUUGCUGGCCCCUGUAGCUAUGUCAGACUUCUACUUAGAAUUCUUUGUCUCCAUGUUUUAGCACAGUGCAGUUGUCACUGGAACAAGUCCACUUGUCUCCGUAUCUCUGCAUUACUCCUCUCCACACCCAGUCAGUCAUCUGUUGAGCCUUUCACACACAGGCUUGGUUUAAUUUCCAUGAUAUUCUUUUUAACAUGCUCUUAGCUAGAUAGUAUAUAUAAUUUAAAAGUUAUCAAGAAAGAACUGUGCCUUCUGAAAAAAACUAAGGGUGGGUCUUCUUUUCUUUUCUUGUUGCCAUUAUUUUUUCAAUAACUAUUGUUUUGCUGAGAGUACUUUAUUAUAAUUUCCAGUGUGGUUGUUGGUAUAGAAAAAUGACUUGUAUUAUUUAUCUUUUUAAAUCUCAAAUAUUUAGUAAAAUAUUUCACAGAUAGCACAGAUGAAAUAAAUGCUUAUUAAAGAGAAAUGAGUUUUAUAACCUAGGAACUUAAAUUUUGGAGGUAACUUGUCUUUAUUUUUAUAAAUUCUUUUUUAAUUAUUCAUUUUUUUAAAUUUCAACAUAAAUCACGUAAUUUCCCCUUUCAUUUCUUCCUCUGAACCCUCCCAUCUGCCCCUCCCUGGUCCUUUCAAUUUCAUGGCCUCUGUUUUCAUAAAAAAAAAUAUAUAUAUAUGAAAGAGUCAAAAUAUUAUGUUUUUUAAAACUUGGUUUCAGCUUUUGCAUGUUAGACAGAGAAAAUAUACAUGUAAAUAUUCUUUACAUGUAAAGGCCAUAUGCCUCCUUUGAAUUUGAUAUUAGGCAAAAGUUAAUAAAUUAAGAAUUUCUUGGGAUGGGAGACAGGGCAAAGGAGGUGAGGAUCUGUCACAGGAAGUAAAACAUCCCUUAGGAGAGUGUGCCCUGAGCUGGCUAUCAUUUGUAGUCAGUGAGAACAAUUGUUUAACCUGGGAGCACUGUUUGUGCAAGGCUGGACUUGGACUGAUCUAUUCUCAAGUAAGAGCUGGAGGAGGACUGGAGCAGCAAAUUCCUCUGGGAGAACUGCAUCUCACCAGCCUGAGCCAUGUGAGAGGGCUUGCCUCUCUGCUUAUAGGUUAAAUGAGAUUACUGUUAAACAGGGGACUUGGAUAUCCUAAAUAUCAGAGUAUGCAUGUGUCUGUCCAGGAUAUCCUAAAUAUCAGAGUAUGCAUGUGUCUGUCCAGGAUAUCGUGAAUAUCAGACUGUGCAUGUGUCUGUCCAGGAUAUCCUAAAUAUCAGAGUGCACACAUGUCUGUCCUUCAUAAAUUUUUGAGAUAGUAUACAUGAGUGCUUGGCCAAGGUAAAGACAUUGAUUUGGUUUUUCUGUUCUCAAAGGAUUCUGAGCACCAACACGAAGGAAGGAAGUACUGUAGCCCUGUAAACACGGCAUAAAAUAACAAAUUUAUUGCUCAAUUUCUUGUAUAAUAGGCCAUAAAAACAUUUUUGUGUGCAUAUUUUGUUUACUUUAGAACUGUGUGCCACUGGGUGAAAAUGUACCCUCAUAGACUCAUAUAUUUAUGUUGCCAGUUGAUGAACUGUUUGAAGGUGUGUUCUUGGAGAAGAUAUGUCACUAGGAGUGGGCUCUGAGAUUUUACAACCCUACUUUGGGUUUAAACUCUCUUCUCUCCUCCUCCUCCUCCCCUCCCCUCUCCCCCUGCCCUCCCCGCCCUCCCCUGCCCCUCCCCCUUCCCCUCCCCUCCUCCCCCUCUUCUCCUCUUCCUCCCCCUCCCCUCCUCCUUCUCCUCCUCCUCCUUCUUCUUCUCCUCCUUCUUCCUCCCUCUCUCUCUCUCUCUCUCUCCCCCCCCCUCUCUCUCCCUCUCUCUCUCUCUCUCUCCCUGCUUCAUGUAGAUUAGGUUGUAAGGCUCUCAGCUUCUGCCUGUGUAACCUAUACCCCACACCAUGAUGGCCAUAGAGUAACACUCUGCAAAUGUAAGCAACUCCCACUUACAUGCUUUCUUUUUCUAUAAAUGUUUCGUGCUCAUGGUGACCCUUCAUAGCAAUAGAACACUGACUAAGGAAGAACAGUCUUCACUUGUAUUUAUGUGACAACUACCAAUAUCUGCUGCUCAGAGAAACUGUAGUGGAUUAUUUUAUGGUGAACAAACAAACAAACAACAAAAGUAAAACAAAAACCAUGUAAAGUAGUGGUUAGUUGGGUCAUAUGGAUUUGUUUGCCAAUGUUCCAUGUUUAGAAGUGCUGUAUACAUUCCCAGGCUUUUUUAUAGCACACAUAGUGAAGCUGUUCUGUCCAUACUGCUUUGUAACUAGUGUCCUUGAAUUAUUGACUCUUUUCACCUCUUUCUUGUUUCAAAGCUUCUCAUGUUUUUAGUUUUUAAUAUGUUUUCUUUCUGUAAUUGUUUCAAGGCUGAUCUAUAAUUUAACACUGAGCAAAUUUGCACAUUGUCACCACAAAGGUAAGUUAGGUAUUACAAAAUAACCAGUUCUCGUUGUUUAAAUGCUCAGCAAUGUUGUGUCUCCUUUCCAUUUAACUUGAGUAUCUAGGACUUUGAGCUGUGGUCGUUAGUGGAUGCCAUAUAUCAGUGUAUUUCAAUUAUAAAUGUGGAAUCAGUGCUGUAUUGCUUGCUGGCUAUGAUUGUUACUCUUCCUUGUCACCUUGACUGGAAUUAGAAUCACCAUGGAAAUAUGUCUCUGAGGGUGUUUCAGGAGAUGUUUAACAGACCUUCCCUGGGCUGAGGAGCCAGCCUUCAUAGACUAGCAUCCUGGUCUUAAGAAGUUGAGCUGAGAGCACUAUCAUUCAUCGCUGCCCGCCUCCUGACUGUGAAAGCAAUAUGACCAGCUACUUGACGUUGUUGCUGACUGAUAACACAUUCCUCACCAUUGUAGAUUACACACACGAGCAGAAACCCUAACCCAUCCCUCCUUUCCAGAGUUUCUGCUGUCACACGUUUUCUCACAACAAUCAGAAAAGAAAUUAUGUCAGUCCAUUCUGUAAAUUGUUAUUUUAGUCCAUUUUCUCCCAUUUGUUGAGAAGUUUGUGAAAUACUAGCUCCUACUGAUUUCCAUUUUGAAGAUAGGCCUAUAAUACAUGCUUAUUUUAAUCUGUAGCUACUUAAAUAUUGUGCCUAACAGUCAAUAAGAAAAUUAGGGGAAUUUCUUCUAGUUUAAAAAUUGAUAAUCAGGCUUACAGAAUUGUUGGUUAUAAAAUAUUCAUUAGGCUCUCAAGAACAGAAACAUUUUUUUCUUGUUUCUGGCUAUCGAGUCAUGAUUGCUAAUAUCUUUGAAAACUCUAAUGUCACAAACACAUUUCAUUUUAUCUUUGUCACAAUUUUACUUCCUAAGCAUGAGGUUAUAUUUUUUUAAAAAAAGAUUUAUUUAUUUGUUUGUUUGUUUAAUGUACAUACACAGUAGCUGUCUUCAGACACCCCAGAAGAGGCAUCAGAUCUCAUUAUGGAUGGUUGUGAGCCACCAUGCGGUUGCUGGGAUUUGAACCCAGGACCUUCAGAAGAGCACUCCGGUUCUUUUAUCUGCUGAGUCAUUUCUCCAGCCCACGCGAAGUUAGAUUUGGACACAAGUGCUCAACUUUAUCUACUCAUAAACGCCAGCUAGGCUCCUCCUACUCAGCCAUGUUUAAUAAACCCUCAUUUGUAUACAGUAAAAUAGAAAGCCUUUGCUCUUGACUCUUAGCGCUGAUCUGUACUCAUUCUGCUGCUCAUGACAGCUGUAACUUCAUAAUGGCUGUGACUUCAUUAACGGCUGUGACUUCAUAACGGCUGUGACUUCAUGAGGCGCUUACAUUCUCACACAGCUCUUUGUAGCUCUUAGGCUUGUCUGAGGACGCAGAUACACGAUGGGGAACAUGCAAGUCGGGAGGAAAAACAGGCCAUGUACAAGCAAAGAAGAAGAUGUUUCUACGAAUUGUGGAAACCCCACGAGAAACUGUUACAGGACACAUUCAGACAACGGCAUCUAGAAGAGACCAGCCUUCUUGCAGCUUUGAUUCUCUAUUGUCACAUAAGGGGAGAUGUGCACAGGCUUCAGGGCUAAGCACGUGCGUAUUUCUGGUGGGUCACCCAUUGUUCUGAAACCACAGAAGAGGAGGAGCUUGUAUCCCGUGAUGGAGAGCUUAGUGUUGGCUGGGAAAUGAUACCAAACUAGAAUGUGUAGGUAUUGAUUGGUAAUAAACGCUUAACUUUCAUUAAAUAUCUUAUUGUAGCAUCAUAUUUUUCUCCAUUAGUGAGUAAUGGGUUGGAUUACAUCAUUAUCUUUCCUUAAUAUUAAACCAUGGCACCUUUGCCAUGGUUUAAUAUUAAGGACUAAUGCUCCUUUUUGAUACAAUAUUCUUUUACUUCUGUCUUAUUAUCUAAAUUACCAUUUAUUUUUAGGAUGUAAUUAAAUCAUUUAUAUGUAGAGGUGGUGUUGAUCUAUCAAGGUUUUAUACCAUAUUUGUAUGUUGGAUAUUAGAACAACUUAUAGAAACUAUUUAAGGAAUCACUUUUCUUCCCAUACUUUGGAGCAGUUUAAUAACUUUGAUCAUUUAGCAAUGGUUUCUUUUUUAUUGAUCUGUUUAAUCUUUCUGAAUCACUUAUGUUGUUGGCUUGUCAUUUCUAUAUUCUCAUGUAUUAGAUAUAUUUAAAAGCUUACUUGUAUAACGUUCAUACUUUAUUUAUAUCCAUUUGAUUUAAAAAUUGUGAACUUUAACAUUCACCUAGGUAUAUACAUUCAAUAAUGAACUUUACCAUAAAAACACUUGCAAAGAAAACCGUCACACCCCUAAAUUAACCGAACGGCAAAUGUAUACAUCAAAACAAACCUGUUCAGAUAGAAGGGUUAUUUGGAAUGGACACCGUGCAGCUUUGUUUUGGAUUUGUUCCUCUCUCUAUAAUCUCUUUUUAAAAUUCUCCUUUCUUUAUUCUUGAAAAUGUUUGAAAGGAGGUUUGACUCUUACUGCUAUUUUUCCAACUUGUCUCUGGGAUUAUGUUUCUUUAAUACUGAUAUUUAUUUUACUUUUAUUGCUGGGCUGAUUUUUUUUCCUUUUGGAGGAAAUAGAUGGGCUAGUCUACGUGUGAUCGCUAGUCUUUAGAUAGAGCAAGGAAUGCACCUUCUACUGAAGGAAAAAGAGGAAUACAUUGUGAGCUCACAAUACACACCCUUAGGUUGCUUUACAAGUUUAACACUCACGUUUUUAAAUUCCUUUGAUUCCAUCGAGAUCCACUUGUCAUGGUACCCUGGUCUUGAUUUAUGGAUGCCAGAUGUUUCCACUCCAGCGGGAAUGCUAACAUUCUCCAUCCUUUGUGGCAUUAACCCUGUGACAUUAAAAUAUCAUCACUCACUGCCUUUGUUUCAACUUCCUUUCAAGGUAUUGAGUGUCCCUCGCUGUCACGUCAUUUGACAGUAGUGCCAAUUUUUAGAAUGGAUGACACAGGCUUGUGUACCAUGAUUGUUGGAGACUUCCUCAAUAAAGGUCCUCAAUACACAUUUAUCUUAAGGGCUGUGUCUAUAAGAGAGAGUGUUUCUUUUCCUUUACAACAAAAUACACUUAACUUGCUCUGGGAAUACAUUUGGGGUACACCAUUUUUGUUUGUUUGUUUUGUCGCUAGCUGUGUCUUUGUCUCUUUUGCUGAUGCUUUCAUAAUCUUUCUUUUCCUGACUGUGGUAGAGUUGUUAAAAGUUCUUUGACUUGUUCCCUCAUGUCCCUUGUGUGCCAUCAAUCCUUGAGGGACAUUAGAAGUGUCUGUUUCUGGGCUGAGUUUUUGCAGGGAAAGAUUCACUAGAGAAAUUAAAGCUUUGGUGAUUUUUACUCCUAUGCUGAGUCACUAUGUACUUCUGUGUCUUGAGGCUGAUUGUUAGCUGGGAAAUCAUUCAUCCAUUUUCUCAGUUCUAAGACCAAUAAUCAAAGUCUGUUCUGGAAAAAUUCUCACUGUUCUUAGAUCAAACUGAAUUUAAUCAUUGAACAAGUACCACUGUCAGCUGCCUUGUGUAUUUAAAAUGUGCCUGUCCUUGAGAUCUGGUGCAUUGUCUCACCAGAACUGUUGUUUUUUCUUCCAGUCCAAAAAUGUAUAUGUGUAUACAUGUAUGCACACACACACACACACACACACACACACACACACACGUAUAUGCUUUAUAUAUAAUGUGUAUAUACAUGUAUAGAUUUCUAUCCACAUGAAUACACACACAUGCUCACACACAUAUAUGUGUAUGUAUAAUAUUAUUAUUGUAACUAUUCCUUAGGGGAAGGUACUUUGUUUUUAUAGUUCAGUCAUUACCCUCCUCCUGGUCUGCCCUCCCACAGUUCUUCAUCCUAUUCCUCUUCCCCCUGUCUCCAAGAGGAUGCUCCCCUGUUCUGCCAGGCCUCCCUACUUCCUGGGACCUCAAGUCUCUCAAGUUUAGGCAAGUCUUCUCUGACUGAGGCCAGAACAGGCAGUCUUCUGUUGUGUAUGUAUUAGGGGUCUCAGGCCAGCUGGUAUGUGCUGCCUGGAUCGUGGCACAGUGCCUGAGAGAUUUCGGGUAUCCAGGAUAGUUGACACUGCUGGUCUUCCUAUUGGGUCUCCCUCCUCUUCAGUUUCUUCUAGCCUAUCCCUAAUUCAACCACAGGGAUUCCUGACUUCAGUCCAUUGGUUGAGUAUAAUUUUCUACAUCUUUCUCAGUCAGCUGCUUAUUGGGACUCUCAAAUGAUAGCCAUGCUAGGCUCUUGUCUAUAAGCACACCAUAGCAUCAGUAAUAGCGUCAGGCCUUGGAGCCUUAGGGAAGGGUAUUUGUUGUUUGGGUUCCAUAAAGAGUGAUGCAACUUACACCUACCAUGAAGACAGUCUUUAGUUAACUGUGUUACAAAUCAUUUUAAUAGUAUCUUUUCUAUUAUUUUUAACUACAAAAUAUUUUGUGACUAGAGCAAUACUUAAGAAAGAAUAAUGUAUUAAUAUCAAAAAAUUUGAACUUAAAAUUGAGUUCAGUUGGCAAAUUACUUCUUUGCUUUCUUUCCAUCAAUUAAUUUCAUAAGGAAUUAUAAACUCCUGAAUGCCACCAAUGCACUUUCUCUCUUUUAAUAUAAGUUCUAAGACUAGAGCCACCGAUGAAGAGUAAUUUAUUAGGUGAUUUUGUUGUUAGAAUUAUUUUUCAAUCUCCAAAGUUGGAAUUAUCUGACAAUAUGUAAAUGAAUUCUAUAUUCCUUGCAUCACACAUUUCUAAAUUGUAAGAUUGUGAACCUAGAAUCUGAUUCCAUGAAAAUGAAUACAGAUGUGUUUUAUUACUGUAAAGGUCUGUUUUAUGUUUGUGUUUGUCAGACAAAAUUGUGUUCUAAUCUUUACAUUUAGGCAGUACUAUUAUUUAACUAUAUAUUGCAGGUGUGGAAAAAUGAAGUUUAAAAAAAAAACCUUAAGCAAAUUGCCAGAUACAUAAUGAGACUAAAGUAGAAGCUAAACAAUCACCUUUUCAAUGGUUAGCAUAGAAUUGCCUGUCUAAAUUUAAAAGAGAACCAAAAUAUAGUCAACAAAUAAUUUAACCACCGAGUCUAUGCCACACACCCAGGUAGCCAGGAGAGAAGUAAGGGAGUAAAUAAGGCAUGAUUCUGAAAGGCUUGUAAUUAUCUGGUUGAAGUAAGAUGCAAUGAGGCUUUGCAAUUAUCUACAUCACUGUGUGCAGUGACAGACAAUAAUCGUUAUAAACAACAAAAACAAUAGUAAGAAGGCACACAGUAAGCCCAGGCGUAUGUUGUCAGGAUAGCAUCUUUAUGAUGUUGUAGAACAGGAUUUGGCUCAGUGUGGUAACUAAUAAAACCUUUCUAGAACAUCCCAGAGGAUUUGAUCUCCCUAGAAAGCGCAGCCUGUCUUGUGUCACAGUGUUUGCUGUGAGGAUCCUGAUGGCUGCUUGGCUCCGGUUCUUGACUAAGGCAUUUGGCAGGGAUCCCACUUGUCUUUGCAUUUAUUUGACCCCUGGAUGCCCUGCCUUCCCCAGUGACCUAGGUCAUUACCAGGAACAGAACCUGCUGCUCUCAUGCUGCUUUCCAGUACUGACUGAGCAAAUUCCUCAUCUAAAUUCUGCAGAGCUUGGCAGUAAGCUCCAGCAGGGACAUAUGUAGGCAGAGCAAAUGGAGGCUUAUGUAACUGCCCAAACAACUCAUGCCAGGUUCAACUCAGGCAGAAACACUCAUUUUGAUAUAAACAAGGUAUACGCGUCCCUUGGUUUAAGAUCAUACAUUUUAAUUUGGACUCAAUAUGCAAUAUAACAAAGCAUGCUACUUUUAAUAAUUGUACAGAGAUUCUGUACAAUAUAAAUUAUAAAACACUGAAUAAUCCAUGAGUUGAUUGUAUAAAAGUUAAAUGAAAAUAUAGGAAAUCUGAUUUGGGAUAUUUCUGGAUCUAGCACCGUUGGCAGACAUGAGGUAGAUUUUAAAACUGCGAAUCAGUCUGCUGUGUGUGGAAGUUUUAGGAUCACAGUUUCAGAACCCCGGAGGAUCCAAUUAACUCUUUUCUCCAGGCGCUUGGUUAAAAUUAGAUAUUGUCUUUCUUCUUUUUCCUCAUCCUUCCUACUUUCUGUCCAUUCCUCUGCCCUUGGUUCUAGUUGAAUAUAUCCACAGUGCACAGCAGUUAAAAGAAUCUCCAUUCCCCUGAUAAACUAAUUGGAGUUAAUGUCUUCAGACAGGGUUGACCUAUCUGUGAUCUGAAUAAAAAAA